rnacentral:rRNA from 1 species
UUUAUGAUUAGAUCUCGAGUGUCAUUCAAUUCACCUUCCAAGAGUCGAGUUGUUUGGGAUUGCAGCUCAAAACGGGUGGUAAAUUUCACCUAAGGCUAAAUAUAUGCAAGAGACCGAUAGCGAACAAGUACCGUGAGGGAAAGAUGAAAAGAACUUUGAAAAGAGAGUUAAAUAGUACGUGAAAUUGUUGAAAGGGAAACGAUUGAAGUCAGUCAUGCUAGUGGGGAAUCAACUUGAUGGUGCGUGGGUUCGCUCGCGUACUUUCGUGUGCACUUCCUCACUCGGCAGGUUAGCAUCAAUUUCGGUUAUCAUAAAAAAUUUGAGGGAAUGUGGCUUUUCUUCGGAAAAGUGUUAUAGACCUUGACCUAUGUGGUGACCGGGAUUGAGGAUUGCAGCGGAUACCCUUGUGGCUGGUCACCCGGCUUCUGACGGUUGCCCCGCUUUCGAUAGCUCGCUAACGUUAGUGGGAUUCGAUUGUCUAGAUGUUGGAGUGAUUCAUUUU